rnacentral:rRNA from 1 species
GGCGCACGGGUGAGUAACACGUAUGCAACCUACCCUGUACAGGGGGAUAACCCGGAGAAAUACGGACUAAUACCGCAUAAUGAUAUUUGAGGGCAUCCUUAGAUAUUUAAAGCUUCGGUGGUACGGGAUGGGCAUGCGGAACAUUAGCUAGUUGGCAGGGUAAUGGCCUACCAAGGCAAUGAUGUUUAGGGGACCUGAGAGGGUGAUCCCCCACACUGGUACUGAUGACACGGACCAGACUCCUACGGGAGGCAGCAGUGAGGAAUAUUGGUCAAUGGGCGGAAGCCUGAACCAGCCAUCCCGCGUGCAGGAAGACGGGCCUAUGGGUUGUAAACUGCUUUUCCAGGGGGCGAAACUUUCCGAUGUAUCGGGAUUUGACGGUACCCUGGGAAUAAGCAUCGGCUAACUCCGUGCCAGCAGCCGCGGUAAUACGGAGGAUGCGAGCGUUAUCCGGAUUUAUUGGGUUUAAAGGGUGCGUAGGCGGAUCGAUAAGUCAGUGGUGAAACCCUGCAGC